GGGCCUCGGUGCUCGUUACCCCCCCCGACCCGGCGUUCCCCUGUGACCUGGGCGGGGGGGUGGGGGCCCUGCUCCAACGAGACCUGCUGCUGGAGGACCUCCGUCAGGCCGUCCUGCGCUUCAUCUACGCCUACGCCCCAGGGGCCGCCGCCUACAUCGCCGAGGAGUGACCUCCGACCCCCGGGCAGCGGCGGGACGGUAUGUGGGGCGCCCCCCCAGGAAAAAUGUCUUCCAACAUAGACUUGGAUCACUCAACCAGAAGAAACUAUACGGCCUCAGGUUGCAGAAUGAUAUAAAAGCUUAUGAAUCCGUUUGUCACCAUGUAGUUCUGAGGGCUCACCUGCAGCUCUGCAUUGGUUCCUCGUCACCACACCCAUCUGGCCUUCACAGGAUCCACUAAAGCAGAAAGGAAUGAAAUGUACAUUUAAAUAAAGAAUUCAUGAUU
ensembl:lncRNA